rnacentral:misc_RNA from 1 species
GAUGAAGAACGUAGUAAAAUGCGAUAAGUAAUGUGAAUUGCAGAAUUCAGUGAAUCAUCGAAUCUUUGAACGCACAUUGCGCCCGCUGGUAUUCCGGCGGGCAUGUCUGUUCGAGCGUCAUUUCAACCCUCAAGCCCCCGGGUUUGGUGUUGGGGAUCGGCUCUGCCUUCUGGCGGUGCCGCCCCCGAAAUACAUUGGCGGUCUCGCUGCAGCCUCCAUUGCGUAGUAGCUAACACCUCGCAACUGGAACGCGGCGCGGCCAUGCCGUAAAACCCCAACUUCUGAAUGUUGACCUCGGAUCAGGUAGGAAUACCCGCUGAACUUAAGCAUAUCAAUAGCGGAGGA